GCCCUGACGACGAACGGGAGCAUUUUGAAGAGAGAAUCCAGGAGGACACACUGGAUUGAAAGGGCUCUGGGGUGUUUUGCCAGGCAGAAGCGUGGAGAGCAGCCCGCCUUGCCACCUCUGCUACUGCCAUGGUGCGGAAUCUGCUGCUGGGCACCUUAGACUCUGAGACUUUGCUGCAACCUGAAUGGUGGAAAGCCAACCAGAGGGGAUGGGGAGCAGCUGGUCGCGUUUAUUAGGCAUUGGAGACAGCAUAAGGUAGGGCACCCAUUAUUGUUACUGUAUCUGCUUGGGACCUAUAUACUAAUUCAUCGCUUGCUCACUUCUUAAUCCUACCUUUCCUUUAAAGCCACAUUUCUGGGGUAUUGC